rnacentral:lncRNA from 1 species
CUACCCGCCGCAUCGCGUGGAUCACUACACUAGUAAUACUUUAAUUUGAUAGAUUUUCUAGGUAUGUAAAAUAAGAAGAAAACUAAAUACAUAACAAAAUUCAAGAUCAAAAUAAAAUAAGAUAACUCACAAAGCGCCAUAGAAAAAAGAUUUCUAAUCAAUCUGCGGAAGCGAGAAGUUCGACUAUGAUCUGAAAGUCACGAACCGAACUUGGAUAAUUUGGUUUCUCCUCCUAUCUCAGGCACUCUGUCGUAUGGUGUGGAACCGAUGGUAAUUCUUCAUCAAAAUACGUAUAAGAAGAUGGCAGGACCAAUACCCCUUUAUAUAGAGUCCAGAUCAACUUCCAAUCAAAGUCUGGUUCGGAUUCUAUUUAAUUUAAAUAGAUGGGAUAAGGAUAAAAUAUAUAUACCAUAUUAAAUAAUUCUAUAUCUAUUAGGAUUAACCUUUUUCUAUAAUAUAUUCAGAUCUGAAUAUGAUUAAUUGGGCCAAAAUUUAUGGAAAUCCUAACAAUCUUCCACUUGGCUCAUAUUAAUCAUAUUUCAUGAGCGGAUUUUUCUAUAUUCCAAACUUUAUUGCGCAUUAUUGAAAACUUCAUGGUCAAAUAUCUUAGAACCCACUUGAUCUUUAGCUCAAACUAAAAAACUAUAAUGAUCGGAACUAUGGUGGUCCACCUCUACAUAUUGAAAUUUUCCUUCCAUAAUUACCAUAUCAUCCUCAUCUGAUAAUCAAGCACUUUAUAUGGCACAACUUUAUGAAUGAACUUUAAACUAUAUGUCCAUUCGAUAACAUACAAAAUUUUAUGCCUAUUAAAUG